rnacentral:rRNA from 1 species
AGGAUAAACGCUGGCGGCGUGCAUGAGACAUGCAAGUCGAACGGACGAUCAGGGCUUGCUCUGAUCGUUAGUGGCGGACGGCUGAGUAACGCGUAGGCGACCUGUCCCGAAGUGGGGAAUAACUGCCCGAAAGGGUGGCUAAUACCACAUGUGGUGGUGUGUUCAUUCACACCAGUAAAGCCGCAAGGCGCUUCGGGAGGGGCCUGCGUCCGAUUAGCUCGUUGGUGGGGUAACGGCUCACCAAGGCGACGAUCGGUAGGUGGUCUGAGAGGACGAUCACCCAGACUGGGACUGAGACACGGCCCAGACUCCUACGGGAGGCAGCAGUCGGGAAUUUUUGCGCAAUGGACGAAAGUCUGACGCAGCAACGCCGCGUGAGGGAUGACGGCCUCGGGUUGUAAACCUCUUUUAUCAGGGAAGAUAAUGACGGUACCUGAUGAAUAAGUCACGGCUAACUACGUGCCAGCAGCCGC